rnacentral:tRNA from 1 species
GGGGUUAUGGCUCAGUGGUAGAGCACAUGUGUGAAGCACUGGUUUUGAUUUCAGCACCACAUAAAAAUAAAUAAAAUCAAGGUAUUAUGUCCAUCUACAACUAAAAAAAGUAAAAUAAAAUACAAAAUAAGGCUAGGGAUGUGGUUCAGUGGUCAAGUGCCCCUGAGAUCAAUCCCCAGUACCCCCC